rnacentral:snoRNA from 13 species
ACUGAGGAAUGAUGACAGUAAAAGGCCGAAUUGCAGUGUCUGUCAACAGUUUGCUCUCUGGGCACACGAUGACAAAAUCUCCUGAAGCGAACUACUGGUCUGACCUCAGU